GCUGCAGCCCGGGUAGUCGCGGGGGGCGGCGCGUCCUUCGGGGCGGGCCGACUCUCCGAGGAAAGUCCGGACACCGCAGAGCGGGGUGCUGGAUAACGUCCAGCAGGGGAAACCCUCGGGAAAGUGCCACAGAAAUGACACAGCACACCGGUGGCGGUCCGCCGCCUCCGGCUGCAACGGUGAAAUGGCGCGGUAAGAGCGCACCGGCGUCGUGGUGACACGGCGGCCAGGCAAACCCCACCCGGUGCAAGGCCGAAUAGAGAGGCGCUCGAGGGCUGCUCGUCCGAAGCCUCCGGGUUGGCCGCACGAGACGCUGGGUAACCUGCGUCCUAGAUGGAUGGCUACCCUCGACAGAAUCCGGCUUACAGGGCUGCUGACGUG
rnacentral:RNase_P_RNA from 1 species